rnacentral:rRNA from 1 species
CCAAUAGCGUAUAUUAAAGUUGUUGCAGUUAAAAAGCUCGUAGUUGAAUUUCGGGGUCAGCAGGUUGGUCGUGCCACUGGUAUGCACUGGUCUCGCUGAUUCCUCCCUCUUGUAGAACCGUAAUGCCAUUAAGUUGGUGUUGCGGGGACACAGGACUGUUACUUUGAAAAAAUUAGAGUGUUUAAAGCAGGCUAACGCUUGAAUACAUUAGCAUGGAAUAAUGAAAUAGGACGAUCGAUCCUAUUUUGUUGGUUUCUAGGGUUGGCGUAAUGAUUAAUAGGGAUAGUUGGGGGCAUUAGUAUUCAAUUGUCAGAGGUGAAAUUCUUGGAUUUAUUGAAGACUAACUACUGCGAAAGCAUUUGCCAAGGAUGUUUUCAUUAAUCAAGAACGAAAGUUAGGGGAUCGAAGACGAUCAGAUACCGUCGUAGUCUUAACCAUAAACUAUGCCGACUAGGGAUCGGAUGAUGUUAAUUUUUUAAUGACUCAUUCGGCGCCUUACG